AAAAUGUUCAUAGUGCCUCGGUUUGUUCUAAGGUAAAAAUUGCUAUAUCGUUCUAUCUGUCACAAGCUUGUCAACAAGAAAGUACCUCGAAAGAACAGGAACAAAACGAAAAAUUAAAUGUGAUAUGAGCUUUUAGAUAAACUAUGAACACUAAUUACACUCGAAAAUAUCUGCCUAUGAGAGUCUUGAUUGAAGGCAGAGGAGAAGGGGACGACAGAGGCUAAGAUGGUUGGAUGGCAUCACUGAUUCGAUGGACAUGAGUUUGAGCAAGCCCCUGGAGUUGGUGAUGGACACGGAAGCCCAGCGUCCUGCAGGCCACGGGGUCCCAAAGAGUCAGACACGACUGAGCCACUGAACUGAACUGAACAUACAAUCGUUUCUCCAGGUGUUUUGGUUACCCGAGUUUCUAUCCUGUGCUAAACUAAGUGACGACAGUGUACUGAAGAGCUGGGUCAUUUCCAAAUAAAUUAAAGUUCUGAAACAUUCACGCCUUGAAAGGACCUCCCUUUUACACAGAAACAAAAGAGAUUUUUGACUAUCCAAUAAGAGUGUCUGGCACCAUCCUGACAUGUGAAACGUAAGAAAGCAAUUUUUUUUUGUUUUGUUUGGUUCUGAUCUUGGGUGUGUGUGUGUGUGUGUGUGUGUGUGUGUGUGCGUGCGUGCGGGGGAGGGGAGGGGCGCUACUAUCACUGAUAGGUAUGUUCACCAAUCUGUCGAAUGCCAAUAUAAAAGUCAGUUCUUGGUUGCUGAAGGGAAAUGUAUGACUUGGUAUUAAAAGAAGGUAUGUGGCAUGAAAUCGCAUUUUCUGAAGGAAAACGACGUCGUUCUUUCUUCCAGGUGGCAGUUUUCAGGAUGGGAGAAGCAAAGGAAUGGGUACCGAAUGGGAUCAGGAGGUUGUAGGGAAAGUGGACCCCCAGAAAAGAGUGUUGUGCCUAGCACAAGGUUUCUUGAGAGGUUGAACUGCCUUUGCUAAUGGAUUUUAAGUUUCUUUACCUCUUCCGUGAUCUCUUCUAGGUUGACCUAGAAGAGAAAUCUUUUGUUAGCUUUGGCUAAGUGGAGAAGUAUUGCUUCACGGUGACUUGUGUGAUCCUACCUGACUGUUCUAAACCCUUUUGAUAUCUAUGCACU
rnacentral:lncRNA from 1 species